rnacentral:rRNA from 1 species
UACGGGGGGAGCAAGCGUUGUUCGGAUUUACUGGGCGUAAAGGGCGCGUAGGCGGCGUGACAAGUCACUUGUGAAAUCUCCGGGCUUAACUCGGAACGGUCAGAUGAUACUGCUUUGCUAGAGUACAGAAGGGGCAAUCGGGAAUUCUUGGUGUAGCGGUGAAAUGACGUAGAUAUCAAGAGGAACACCUGAGGUGAAGACGGGUUGCUGGGCUGAUACUGACGCUGAGGCGCGAAAGCUAGGGUAGCAAACGGG